rnacentral:rRNA from 1 species
CCAAUAGCGUAUAUUAAAGUUGUUGCAGUUAAAAAGCUCGUAGUUAAAUUUCGAGACCGGUUUACUGGUCGUGCUUUUGUACGUACUGGUAUAAUCGGUUUCUCUCUUCUGACGAACUAUAAUGCCAUUAAUUUGGUGUUUUAGGGAAUCAGGACUGUUACUUUGAAAAAAUUAGAGUGUUUAAAGCAGGCUCACGCUUG